AGAGUUUGAUCCUGGCUCAGAACGAACGCUGGCGGCAGGCCUAACACAUGCAAGUCGAGCGCUCUCUUCGGAGGGAGCGGCGGACGGGUGAGUAACGCGUGGGAACGUGCCCUUCUCUAUGGAAUAGCCACUGGAAACGGUGAGUAAUACCAUAUACGCCCUUCGGGGGAAAGAUUUAUCGGAGAAGGAUCGGCCCGCGUUAGAUUAGGUAGUUGGUGGGGUAAUGGCCUACCAAGCCUACGAUCUAUAGCUGGUUUUAGAGGAUGAUCAGCCACACUGGGACUGAGACACGGCCCAGACUCCUACGGGAGGCAGCAGUGGGGAAUCUUAGACAAUGGGCGCAAGCCUGAUCUAGCCAUGCCGCGUGAGUGAUGAAGGCCUUAGGGUCGUAAAGCUCUUUCGCCAGAGAUGAUAAUGACAGUAUCUGGUAAAGAAACCCCGGCUAACUCCGUGCCAGCAGCCGCGGUAAUACGGAGGGGGUUAGCGUUGUUCGGAAUUACUGGGCGUAAAGCGCACGUAGGCGGAUUAGAAAGUUAGGGGUGAAAUCCCGGGGCUCAACCUCGGAACUGCCUCUAAAACUCCUAGUCUAGAGUUCGAGAGAGGUGAGUGGAAUUCCAAGUGUAGAGGUGAAAUUCGUAGAUAUUUGGAGGAACACCAGUGGCGAAAGCGGCUCACUGGCUCGAUACUGACGCUGAGGUGCGAAAGUGUGGGGAGCAAACAGGAUUAGAUACCCUGGUAGUCCACACCGUAAACGAUGAAUGCCAGUCGUCGGGUAGUAUACUGCUCGGUGACACACCUAACGGAUUAAGCAUUCCGCCUGGGGAGUACGGUCGCAGAUUAAAACUCAAAGGAAUUGACGG
rnacentral:rRNA from 1 species